UACGUAGGGGGCAAGCGUUGUCCGGAUUUCUUGGGCGUAAAGAGCGUGUAGGCGGCCAUACAGGUCCGUUGUGAAAACUGGAGGCUUAACCUCCAGACGUCGAUGGAAACCGUAUGGCUAGAGUCCGGAAGAGGAGAGUGGAAUUCCUGGUGUAGCGGUGAAAUGCGCAGAUAUCAGGAAGAACACCCGUGGCGAAGGCGGCUCUCUGGGACGGUACUGACGCUGAGACGCGAAAGCGUGGGGAGCGAACAGG
rnacentral:rRNA from 1 species